rnacentral:tRNA from 1 species
GGAGAGUUGGCUGAGCUGGUCGAAGGCGCAUGACUGGAAAUCAUGUUUACGUGAAAGCGUAACUAGGGUUCGAAUCCCUAACUCUCCGCCA